AUUAACCUCAGAUCAGGCAA
rnacentral:rRNA from 3 species